UACGAAGGGGGCUAGCGUUGCUCGGAAUGACUGGGCGUAAAGGGCGCGUAGGCGGAUGGCACAGUCAGAUGUGAAAUUCCCGGGCUUAACCUGGGGGCUGCAUUUGAUACGUGUGAUCUAGAGUGAGGAACAGGGUCGUGGAAUUCCCAGUGUAGAGGUGAAAUUCGUAGAUAUUGGGAAGAACACCGGUGGCGAAGGCGGCGACCUGGUCCUUGACUGACGCUGAGGCGCGAAAGCGUGGGGAGCAAACAGG
rnacentral:rRNA from 1 species